GGGACCGGGACGGGGGCAGAGCCACUGGUUGCCCCUCCCCUUGAAGUGACCAGGGACUGAAAUGUCCAGGUCUGGACUCCAACCCAGGGGUUUGUACCCACAAGGCUCAGGGACGCCCUGGGAAGGAAUCUCCCAACAGUGGAUGCUUCCCCUGCCUCACUGUAGGCCCAAAUGGAUCCAGCAGGGAGGCAGCCUGCCAUGGGCCCCUGCUCAGGGGACCCCCACCUGGGCGGGGCCUCCUGGCUCCUGGGACUCACCCUCCUCCUCCUCAGUGAGUGGCCCGGGCUCCCGGGGAGGGAGGACCCCCGGGCGGGCAGGGAGGCAGGAGCUGCGGGGCUGUCUGGUGUCUCUGGGGAGGAGCAGAGGAAGCAGCCCUGUGAUAUGGAGCACACGCGGUGCGUCUGGUUUCCAGCCCCGGGGGCAGCGGAAUGAACACAGAAGCUUCUGGUGGAGGCCAGGCUGGGAGCCCUGACCCUGGCUGCCUGGCUGCAGGACAGAACCCCCAGCAGGGGUGAGGCCAGGGGAGCCCGCAGCCCCCUGGGGAGAGGGAUGGAGGAGACCAAGCGGGGGCUGCUGGGACCCAGGGUGGGGACGGGCACCCCCUGGCCUGCGAUGCUCAGGGGACCGGGCAGCCCCUGCAGCUGCUGUGCCUGGGCGGGGCCGACCCAGAGCCCAGGGCUGAGCUGGAGAAGAAAGCAGGUGUCCUCUGGCUCCUGGGGCGACAUGAGGCCUGACUAUGGUGACAUUCUGUUGGAAAAGGAAGGAAAGGCGGCCUCCAGAAUUCAAGGGGUCUGUGCCUCUGCUGCAUGUGAGACUGUGCCUGG
rnacentral:lncRNA from 1 species